rnacentral:rRNA from 1 species
ACGGGGCGCAGCAGGCGCGAAAACUUCACACUGCAGGAAACUGUGAUGAGGGAACUCCAAGUGCAUGCACUAUGUGUAUGCUUUUCUUAACUAUUAAUCGGUUUUGGAAUAAGGGCUGGGAAAGACCGGUGCCAGCAGCCGCGGUAAU